rnacentral:rRNA from 1 species
AGAGUUUGACCCUGGCUCAGGAUGAACGCUGGCGGCGUGCCUAACACAUGCAAGUCGAGCGAGAAAUCUUGGAAUGAGACUUCGGUUAAGUGAAGAGAUGGAAAGCGGCGGACGGGUGAGUAACGCGUAGGCAACCUGCCUUAUGCAGAGGGAUAGCCAUUGGAAACGAUGGUUAAAACCUCAUAAAACCAUUUUAUCACAUGGUGAGAUGGUCAAAGAUUUAUCGGCAUAAGAUGGGCCUGCGUCUGAUUAGCUGGUUGGUGGGGUAACGGCCUACCAAGGCGACGAUCAGUAGCCGACCUGAGAGGGUGAACGGCCACAUUGGAACUGAGACACGGUCCAAACUCCUACGGGAGGCAGCAGUGGGGAAUAUUGCACAAUGGGCGAAGGCCUGAUGCAGCAACGCCGCGUGAGCGAAGAAGGUCUUCGGAUCGUAAAGCUCUGUCCUUAGGGAAGAUAAUGACGGUACCUGAGGAGGAAGCCCCGGCUAACUACGUGCCAGCAGCCGCGGUAAUACGUAGGGGGCAAGCGUUAUCCGGAAUUAUUGGGCGUAAAGAGUGCGUAGGUGGUUACCUAAGCAGAGGGUGAAAGGCACUGGCUUAACCAAUGUCAGCCCCCUGAACUGGGUACCUUGAGUGCAGGAGAGGAAAGCGGAAUUCCUAGUGUAGCGGUGAAAUGCGUAGAUAUUAGGAGGAACACCAGUGGCGAAGGCGGCUUUCUGGACUGUAACUGACACUGAGGCACGAAAGUGUGGGGAGCAAACAGGAUUAGAUACCCUGGUAGUCCACACCGUAAACGAUGAGCACUAGGUGUCGGGGUCGCAAGACUUCGGUGCCGGAGUUAACGCAUUAAGUGCUCCGCCUGGGGAGUACGUACGCAAGUAUGAAACCCAAAGGAAUUGACGGGGACCCGCACAAGCGGUGGAGCAUGUGGUUUAAUUCGAAGCAACGCGAAGAACCUUACCAGGUCUUGACAUCCCGAUGACCGGCCCGUAACGGGGCCUUCUCUUCGGAGCAUUGGAGACAGGUGGUGCUUGGUUGUCGUCAGCUCGUGUCGUGAGAUGUUGGGUUAAGUCCCGCAACGAGCGCAACCCUUAUCCUCAGUAGCCAGCAGGUAAAGCUGGGCACUCUGUGGAGACUGCCAGGGAUAACCUGGAGGAAGGUGGGGAUGACGUCAAAUCAUCAUGCCCCUUAUGAUCUGGGCUACACACGUGCUACAAUGGCGUAAACAAAGGGAGGCAAAGCCGCGAGGUGGAGCAAAUCCCAAAAAUAACGUCUCAGUUCGGACUGCAGUCUGCAACUCGACUGCACGAAGCUGGAAUCGCUAGUAAUCGCGAAUCAGAAUGUCGCGGUGAAUACGUUCCCGGGUCUUGUACACACCGCCCGUCACACCAUGGGAGUUGGUAACGCCCGAAGUCAGUGACCCAACCUUUCAGGAGGGAGCUGCUGAAGGCGGGACUGAUAACUGGGGUGAAGUCGUAACAAGGUA